rnacentral:rRNA from 1 species
GAUGAACGCUGGCGGCGUGCCUAAUACAUGCAAGUCGAGCGAACAGAUGAGGAGCUUGCUCCUCUGACGUUAGCGGCGGACGGGUGAGUAACACGUGGAUAACCUACCUAUAAGACUGGGAUAACUUCGGGAAACCGGAGCUAAUACCGGAUAAUAUAUUGAACCGCAGGGUGCAAUAGUGAAAGACGGUGUUGCUGUCACUUAUAGAUGGAUCUGCGCCGCAUUAGCUAGUUGGUAAGGUAACGGCUUACCAAGGCAACGAGGCGUAGCCGACCUGAUAGGGGGAUCGGCCACACUGGAACUGAGACACGGUCCAGACUCCUACGGGAGGCAGCAGUAGGGAAUCUUCCGCAAUGGGCGAAAGCCUGACGGAACAACGCCGCGUGAGUGAUGAAGGUCUUCGGAUCGUAAAACUCUGUUAUUAGGGAAGAACAAAUGUGUAAGUAACUAUGCACGUAUUGACGGUACCUAAUCAGAAAGCCCCGGCUAACUACGUG